rnacentral:rRNA from 1 species
GACGAACGCUGGCGGCGUGCCUAAUACAUGCCAGUCGAACGAGAGCGACCGGUGCUUGCACUGGUCAAUCUAGUGGCGAACGGGUGAGUAACACGUGGGUAACCUGCCCAUCAGAGGGGGAUAACAUCCGGAAACGGAUGCUAAAACCGCAUAGGUCUUCGAACCGCAUGGUUUGAAGAGGAAAAGAGGCGCAAGCUUCUGCUGAUGGAUGUACCCGCGGUGCAUUAGCUAGUUGGUGAGGUAACGGCUCACCAAGGCCGUGAUGCAUAGCCGACCUGAGAGGGUGAUCGGCCACAUUGGGACUGAGAAACGGAACAAACUCCUACGGGAGGCAGCAGUAGGGAAUCUUCCGCAAUGGACGAAAGUCUGACGGAGCAACGCCGCGUGAGUGAAGAAGGUUUUCGGAUCGUAAAACUCUGUUGUUAGAGAAGAACAAGUGCUAGAGUAACUGUUAGCGCCUUGACGGUAUCUAACCAGAAAGCCACGGCUAACUACGUG